rnacentral:tRNA from 1 species
GGAGAUAUAACUGAAUGUCAGAGCACAUGCUUUGCCUGUAGGAUGUUCUAAGUUCAACCCUUUGUAUCUCCA